GAGCUAGUGUGCUGUAGUGGUUAGAGUGUUGGAUUAUGACUCUGGAGGCCAGGGUUCAGUUCCCUUUUUGGCCA